UGAAUCCUCAAUAAAACUAUCAACCAUCAGGGUCAGAAUCACUUUCAUUCUCAUAAGCUUGGUUGUCUUCUUGAGAUGGGUGUUCAUCAUUUGAAGAUGAUUUCUUGUAUACAUGCUUUAUCAAUAAGUCCAAUUCCUUUCUCAUCCUCCUUCCACAAUUGAUGCACUUUGAGCAGUUAAUAUUUCUUGUUUCUUUCUUUCAAACUCAUUCUGCAUAAGAAUAUGUUAAUU
rnacentral:lncRNA from 1 species